GGCGAACGGGUGAGUAACACGUGGGUAAUCUGCCCUGCACUCUGGGAUAAGCCUGGGAAACUGGGUCUAAUACUGGAUAUGACCUUUCUCCUUAUGGGGUUUGGUGGAAAGUUUUUCGGUGUAGGAUGAGCCCGCGGCCUAUCAGCUUGUUGGUGGGGUGAUGGCCUACCAAGGCGACGACGGGUAGCCGGCCUGAGAGGGCGAUCGGCCACACUGGGACUGAGACACGGCCCAG
rnacentral:rRNA from 1 species